rnacentral:rRNA from 1 species
GGGGAAUAUUGCGCAAUGGGGGAAACCCUGACGCAGCAACGCCGCGUGAAGGAUGAAGGUCUUCGGAUUGUAAACUUCUUUGAUUGGGGAAGAAUAAAUGACGGUACCCAAAAAACAAGCCACGGCUAACUACGUGCCAGCAGCCGCGGUAAUACGUAGGUGGCGAGCGUUAUCCGGAAUUACUGGGUGUAAAGGGCGUGUAGGCGGGAGAGCAAGUCAGAUGUGAAAUUCCAGGGCUCAACUCUGGAGCUGCAUCUGAAACUGUUCUUCUUGAGUGCUGGAGAGGAAAGCGGAAUUCCUAGUGUAGCGGUGAAAUGCGUAGAUAUUAGGAGGAACACCAGUGGCGAAGGCGGCUUUCUGGACAGUAACUGACGCUGAGGCGCGAAAGCGUGGGGAGCAAAC